CCCUUAGAUGUUCUGGGCCGCACGCGCGCUACACUGAUGAAUGCAACGAGCUCUACCCUUGACCGAAAGGCCCGGGUAAACUUGUGAAACUUCAUCGUGAUGGGGAUAGAUUAUUGCAAUUAUUAAUCUUCAACGAGGAAUUCCUAGUAAGCGCGAGUCAUCAGCUCGCGUUGAUUACGUCCCUGCCCUUUGUACACACCGCCCGUCGCUACUACUGAUUGAAUGGUUUAGUGAGGACUCCUGAUUGGCGCCGCCGCCCCGGCAACGGAGCAGCGGACUGCCGAAAAGUUGUUCAAACUUGAUCAUUUAGAGGAAGUAAAAGUCGUAACA
rnacentral:rRNA from 1 species